AGUGGACGCUGGCGGUAGGCCUAACACAUGCAAGUCGAACGGCAGCACAGUAAGAGCUUGCUCUUACGGGUGGCGAGUGGCGGACGGGUGAGGAAUACAUCGGAAUCUACUUUUUCGUGGGGGAUAACGUAGGGAAACUUACGCUAAUACCGCAUACGACCUACGGGUGAAAGCAGGGGAUCUUCGGACCUUGCGCGAUUGAAUGAGCCGAUGUCGGAUUAGCUAGUUGGCGGGGUAAAGGCCCACCAAGGCGACGAUCCGUAGCUGGUCUGAGAGGAUGAUCAGCCACACUGGAACUGAGACACGGUCCAGACUCCUACGGGAGGCAGCAGUGGGGAAUAUUGGACAAUGGGCGCAAGCCUGAUCCAGCUAUACCGCGUGGGUGAAGAAGGCCUUCGGGUUGUAAAGCCCUUUUGUUGGGAAAGAAAAGCAGCAGGUUAAUACCCCGCUGUUCUGACGGUACCCAAAGAAUAAGCACCGGCUAACUUCGU
rnacentral:rRNA from 1 species